AUGUUAAGUCUUUUGUUAAUCUGGACAUAUUCGCUUGGUUGUCUAUUCGUGGUGUCUAUCAUACAACGAGCAUAUAAUUGGUUCAUUCUUUGUGUACAGGGUGACUUGACAGUACAGGCGCGAGAGGAGGUUUCCGCUUUAAUGCGGCGCUUUCAGAGGGGAGAAACUAUCCCACCGCGAGAGGGCGUCUCAUGGUUGAGGCGUCUUGAUGACAAGCUACGCGGGAUUUACGCAGCUUUUACGUGUAGACGGACUUCGGAUGUUGCACUUCCUCCUCCAGCACAUCGUCCGCCACGUCCCUCUGUACAACAUUCAGAACCACGACCCUCUGUGCACCGUUCAGAACCACGACCCUCUGUGCAUCGUGCAGAACCUCAUCCUUCACAGCCAGGGAGAUCUUCCUGGCAUGAGCCACCUCCUUCACAGCCAGGGAGCUCUUCCUGGCAUGAGCCACCUCCUUCACAGCCAGGGAGCUCUUCCUGGCAUGAGCCACCUCCUUCACAGCCAGGGAGCUCUUCCUGGCAUGAGCCACCUCCUUCACAGCUAGGGAGCGCUUACUGGCAUCAGCAGAUGAAUCUAGGCGGCAACCAGUCGCAACCGUUCAUGCAUUCAGAGCAGUCACCGAUCCUUAGUGGUGGUGCUUCGUACUUUGAGGGCGACCGCGAGGAUGAUGACCAAGCUACAAACAUUUAUGGCUUCUCGCAGACAGUGUUUCACACUCCACCACCACCACCGACGCAGGAGACACAGACCGUGAUAGACGAGGUUAACUAUGGUCGUGGUUAUCGCGAGCCUCGUCCACCGCCUCAGCGCUUAUCGCCUUCGGGUCCUCGCCCGAGGAAGACCCAGACUCGUCGUCGUCCCCCGCAGUGA
rnacentral:rRNA from 1 species